rnacentral:lncRNA from 1 species
GGCCUAAAGAGAGUCUUGGAACAUUAUGUUAUCUCCUGAGAGCUUGCUUAGUGGGAGAAUCUGACUUGCAGAUAAUGCCAAGGGGACAAUAAAAGUCUAGCCCAGGCCUUUUAAAGUAGAAGCAAAUAUUCUGCAGCAGAUAUAAAAAUAAUAAAAUGUUACCUUCAUAAUCAGAUUGUUUUGCUUAUUGGUGUUUAAUUAAAAACCAAACAACUUUUCCUAUUAACUUGAUGCUACUUAUUAAUUCAAACGAGUAGACUGACUCUGGAUAUUGGGAAAAUUUAUGUCUGGAAUAGCAAAUUGACCUCAAAAGAUAUAUUUUGAUCAGGAUGAAUUCCAAAGCUGAAAUUAGUUGUUCUCUGAGCUCAGAGUUUUAGACUAAACAUCUCUCUCUUGAUAUAUAUAUAUAUAUGGUGACCAUUAUUCUGAGUGUUUUAAAAGCAUUAUUUUUCUAUUGAAGAAAUGAAAAUAGCAGUCAUUCAAAAUCCUAUUGUGCUAUCUUUUGAUCAUCAUAAUAAGCAAACGCAAAU